rnacentral:rRNA from 1 species
AAAUUGAAGAGUUUGAUCAUGGCUCAGAUUGAACGCUGGCGGCAGGCCUAACACAUGCAAGUCGAACGGUAGCACAGAGGAGCUUGCUCCUUGGGUGACGAGUGGCGGACGGGUGAGUAAUGUCUGGGAAACUGCCCGAUGGAGGGGGAUAACUAC